GACAGAGGGUGCAAACGUUGUUCGGAAUUACUGGGCGUAAAGCGCGUGUAGGCGGCUAUGCAAGUCGGGCGUGAAAUCCCACGGCUCAACCGUGGAAGUGCACCCGAAACUGCGUAGCUAGAGUCCUGGAGAGGAAGGUGGAAUGCUUGGUGUAGAGGUGAAAUUCGUAGAUAUCAAGCGGAACAACGGUGGCGAAGGCGGCCUUCUGGACAGUGACUGACGCUGAGACGCGAAAGCGUGGGGAGCAAACAGG
rnacentral:rRNA from 1 species